CGCCAAAUCAAGAAGGUGUUAUCUGCUGUCUGCCCUCAGCAGGAGUGGUUCCUGAUCGACAGAUGGCGCUGUAUGCCUAUGCAGCAUUAAACCCUGAAAGGUUCGGCGGGACACUACACACAGACGGCUUAAGAAAUAGAUGGGCAGACAGUCGAAAACAAUAUUCAUACAAACAAGAUCAAGUAAUGUAAUGCAUUUGACCAAUUUACAAAUGUUUGUAUUAGUAUGGGAAGUUAGUUAUAAUUAACAGCCUAAGCAGCCUUUCAAGAAAUUAAAAAAAGAGUUUAGUCGUGUUAGACGCCAUAUUUAAUUUUUCGUGAUUGAUAACGAGGCCGUGGGGGAAACAUACACUGUGUGUUCGUCUAUCUGCUGGAGUUGCACAUGUUUUCUAGGUAAUGUGUACUCGGAAAAUAGUAUGCAAAUGAAGAAUCGCAGCUUUGGCAGUUAAUGUGGCCUUUUGCAGUUAUUUGUGUUUGUGUUCCACACCUUUCUGCAACUGCAUUUUGGAACAAACAGGGAGAAAGGUAAUCCGGACGGAUGGUCUCCAUGAAUCACCGCCACAUUAAGAGUUUCAGCCCUCUCAUUAUCCUGCACCACAUUCCCCCCAGGGGGCCGGUACUGUGCCUGAGCCUCACCACAUACAGCCGCUCAUUACCAAUCUGCCAACCGAGGCCUGGCUUGGCCAGAGUUCCUUGCCUUGCACAGGUAAGGGGCCUGGUUCCUUUCUCCACCUCCAUACAACAUCCACAGACUCAAGGGUGAACAGAAACAGCAUGCCUUUCAAAGAGGCGCUGCAGGUGUCACCAUCCCAGAAUCCACCAGCAGAACCCCUCCCCUCAUAUUUCCUGUCAAGAAACACAGAGGCUGAUGGGAGAGCAUGGAAUAAUGGUGCGCUCACAGAGGGGAUUCUCCACAGGUGCAGGACCACGAGGUCACAGAAUGUGUAGCAAGUGACCACCAAUUGAUGCCCCUCCCAAACAAGCAGAGAGCAACAGGGAUCUGACCCAUGGGCUUUGUCCCUGCUCCAUGUCAUUGUGGGAAAGAAAGAUGAUGAUAUUGAAUGACUACAAGGAGGAAACCACAUAUUUGCAGCCCAAGCAAACAAGCAUCACACUAAAGCAAAAGGUGAAAGCGUAAGAACCUAUUUAAAGAAAUAAACAAACACUGUUCUACUGCGAUUCAGUGUCAGAGAUAUUUACUCCCAC
ensembl:lncRNA